rnacentral:rRNA from 1 species
GACGAACGCUGGCGGCGUGCCUAAUACAUGCGAGUCGAACGCUUCUUUCCUCCCGAGUGCUUGCACUCAAUUGGAAAGAGGAGUGGCGGACGGGUGAGUAACACGUGGGUAACCUACCCAUCAGAGGGGGAUAACACUUGGAAACAGGUGCUAAUACCGCAUAACAGUUUAUGCCGCAUGGCAUAAGAGUGAAAGGCGCUUUCGGGUGUCGCUGAUGGAUGGACCCGCGGUGCAUUAGCUAGUUGGUGAGGUAACGGCUCACCAAGGCCACGGUGCAUAGCCGAACUGAGAGGGUGAUCGGCCACACUGGGACUGAGACACGGCCCAGACUCCUACGGGAGGCAGCAGUAGGGAAUCUUCGGCAAUGGACGGAAGUCUGACCGAGCAACGCCGCGUGAGUGAAGAAGGUUUUCGGAUCGUAAAACUCUGUUGUUAGAGAAGAACAAGGACGUUAGUAACUGAACGUCCCCUGACGGUAUCUAACCAGAAAGCCACGGCUAACUACGUGCCAGCCGCCGCCGUAA